UACGGGGGGAGCAAGCGUUGUUCGGAUUUACUGGGCGUAAAGCGCGCGCAGGCGGUCAGAGGCGUCGGUGCUCAAAGUCCACCGCUUAACGGUGGGAGGCGUGCCGAUACGCUCUGACUGGAGGGCGGGCGAGGGUGGUGGAAUUGCCGGUGUAGUGGUGAAAUGCGCAGAUAUCAGGAGGAACACCGAUGGCGAAGGCAGCCUCCUGGGCCAGCACUGACGCUCAUGCACGAAAGCGUGGGGAGCAAACAGG
rnacentral:rRNA from 1 species